GAUGAAGAACGUAGCGAAAUGCGAUAAGUAAUGUGAAUUGCAGAAUUCAGUGAAUCAUCGAAUCUUUGAACGCGCAUUGCGCCCGCCAGUAUUCUGGCGGGCAUGCCUGUUCGAGCGUCAUUACAACCCUCAGGCCCCCGGGCCUGGCGUUGGGGAUCGGCGAGGCGCCCCCCGCGGGCACGCGCCGUCCCCCAAAUACAGUGGCGGUCCCGCCGCAGCUUCCAUUGCGUAGUAGCUAACACCUCGCAACUGGAGAGCGGCGCGGCCAUGCCGUAAAACACCCAACUUCUGAAUGUUGACCUCGAAUCAGGUAGGAAUACCCGCUGAACUUAAGCAUAUCAAUAAGCGGAGGA
rnacentral:misc_RNA from 1 species